rnacentral:rRNA from 1 species
CACGUGUGCAACCAACCCCGUACCGGGAGAUAACCCGCGGAAACGUGGACUAACACCCCAUAAGACCUUUCCCCCGCAUGGGGGGGAGUUUAAAACCCCGGUGGUACGGGACGGGCACGCGCGACAUUAGGUAGUUGGCGGGGUAACGGCCCACCAAGCCGACGAUGUCUAGGGGUUCUGAGAGGAAGGUCCCCCACACUGGAACUGAGACACGGUCCAGACUCCUACGGGAGGCAGCAGUGAGGAAUAUUGGUCAAUGGGCGAGAGCCUGAACCAGCCAAGUCGCGUGAGGGAAGAAUGGUCUAUGGCCUGUAAACCUCUUUUGUCAAGGAAGAACAUGUAGUACGUGUACUACCCUGCCAGUACUUGACGAAUAAGCAUCGGCUAACUCCGUGCCAGCAGCCGCGGUAAUACGGGGGAUGCGAGCGUUAUCCGGAUUUAUUGGGUUUAAAGGGCGCGUAGGCGGGACGUCAAGUCAGCGGUAAAAGACUGCAGCUAAACUGUAGCACGCCGUUGAAACUGUCGACCUGGAGACGAGACGAGGGAGGCGGAACAAGUGAAGUAGCGGUGAAAUGCAUAGAUAUCACUUGGAACCCCGAUAGCGAAGGCAGCUUCCCAGGCUCGAUCUGACGCUGAUGCGCGAGAGCGUGGGUAGCGAACAGGAUUAGAUACCCUGGUAGUCCACGCCGUAAACGAUGCUCACUGGAUCUUGGCGAUACACGGCCAGGGUUCAAGCGAAAGUAUUAAGUGAGCCACCUGGGGAGUACGUCGGCAACGAUGAAACUCAAAGGAAUUGGCGGGGGCCCGCACAAGCGGAGGAACAUGUGGUUUAAUUCGAUGAUACGCGAGGAACCUUACCCGGGUUUAAAUGCAGGUUGCAUGAGGUGGAAACACCUCUUUCCCUCGGGACUACCUGCAAGGUGCUGCAUGGUUGUCGUCAGCUCGUGCCGUGAGGUGUCGGGUUAAGUCCCAUAACGAGCGCAACCCCUAUCGCCAGUUGCCAUCGGUUUCGGCCGGGCACUCUGUCGAGACUGCCACCGUAAGGUGCGAGGAAGGCGGGGAUGACGUCAAAUCAGCACGGCCCUUACACCCGGGGCGACACACGUGUUACAAUGGCCGGUACAGAGGGCAGCCACGGGGCGACCCGGAGCGAAUCUCUAAAGCCGGUCGUAGUUCGGACUGGAGUCUGCAACCCGACUCCACGAAGUUGGAUUCGCUAGUAAUCGCGCAUCAGC